UAGCGGCAGGCGUUACUACAUGCAAGUCGAGGGGCAACGCGAGUAGCAAUACUUGGCGGCGACCGGCGCAAGGGUGCGUAACGCGUGAGCAACAUGCCCGUAUCAGGGGGAUAAUCCAGGGAAACUUGGUCCUAAUACCCCAUAGUAAUUUUGUAAGGCAUCUUAUAAGAUUUAAAGCUUUGGUGGAUACGGAUUGGCUCGCGUGACAUUAGCUGGAUGGUAAGGUAACGGCUUACCAUGGCUAUGAUGUCUAGGGGUUCUGAGAGGAAGGUCCCCCACACUGGAACUGAGACACGGUCCAGACUCCUACGGGAGGCAGCAGUGAGGAAUAUUGGACAAUGGAUGGAAAUCUGAUCCAGCCAUGCCGCCGUGAAGGAAGAAGGUCCUAUGGAUUGUAAACUUCUUUUGUAUGGGAGCAAUAAGGCCUACGUGUAGGUUGAUGAGAGUACCAUACGAAUAAGCACCGGCUAACUCCGUGCCAGCCGCCGC
rnacentral:rRNA from 1 species